rnacentral:lncRNA from 1 species
UUCAACUUCUCAACAGGCUCAGAACCUUCAUUCUAGACUCUCAGGACACCUGACAUUACCCUGGACUCUAUAGGUGAAGGAGGCAAAAAGAAAAGAGGGUCAUGUGGUGGAUCUGAUUUAUUCUCUUCCUGGAGUUGCAUUGCCCAACACGUUCUUCAGUUACCCGAAACUUGGACUAUGAUCUUCAUCAUUGUUUUCCAGGCAUCUCCCAAGGAUAUCUGCUGACAAAGGAACACAUUUUUGCUUAUUAUUUCGGCCAAUUUUUCCUAUGGCAGAAGAUCGUUUCCCUAAUAGUAUGCAGCUUUUUAACUUCUGUCCUCAAGCAAAACCCAUAAAGUUAGUGAAAUUAUGUAGCACUCCAGUUUCCUUCUGGGUAACUACUUCUUCCCACUGUGAGACACUAAACCAAGCUGAAACUACAGGAUCAAAGACACCAUGAAUAAGAAGUCCAUGCUCUACAAGGAAAACCACAACAGACAGAAGCAGAGAAGACCAAAUGAUCCCAGGAAAAGAGCAGCCUUAUUUCCUUAGUCUUUAUUUCCCUUUUGCUUACCCUCUUAGGUCAUUUCUUCUCCACAAAUACCUAUUACACCUGGGCCUCAAUGUCCAGGACAAAAAGUGUUAGACUCAUAUAAUAAACAUACCAUUUUAC